ensembl:rRNA 5S_rRNA 5S ribosomal RNA
UUUGGCAGCCAUAUCACCCUGUAACCCAAGACUGGUCGCCCACUGAAGCUAAGCAGGGUCGAGCUGGUCAGUACCUGGAUGGGAGACUUCCUGGGAAGAAUAGGUUGCUGCUGGAA